GACGAACGCUGGCGGCGUGCUUAACACAUGCAAGUCGAACGAUGAAGCCGGAGCUUGCUCCGGUGGAUUAGUAGCGAACGGGUGAGUAACACGUGAGCAAUCUGCCCUUGACUCUGGGAUAACUGCGGGAAACUGUAGCUAAUACCGGAUACGACACCUUGGGGCAUCCCAGGGUGUGGAAAGAAUUUCGGUCAAGGAUGAGCUCGCGGCCUAUCAGCUAGUUGGUGAGGUAAUGGCUCACCAAGGCGACGACGGGUAGCCGGCCUGAGAGGGUGACCGGCCACACUGGAACUGAGACACGGUCCAGACUCCUACGGGAGGCAGCAGUGGGGAAUAUUGCACAAUGGGCGAAAGCCUGAUGCAGCAACGCCGCGUGAGGGAUGAAGGCCUUCGGGUUGUAAACCUCUUUUAGCAGGGAAGAAGCGAAAGUGACGGUACCUGCAGAAAAAGCACCGGCUAACUACGUGCCAGCAGCCGCGGUAA
rnacentral:rRNA from 1 species